rnacentral:rRNA from 1 species
AUUGAACGCUGGCGGCAGGCCUAACACAUGCAAGUCGAACGAGUGGCGGACGGGUGGGUAAUGUCUGGGAAACUGCCCGAUGGAGGGGGAUAACUACUGGACACGGUAGCUAAUACCGCAUACCAGCGGCUGUGCCGCGCUGGGAAUAGCUAGUGGGUGGGGUAACGGCUUACCAAGGCGACGAUCCCUAGCUGGUCUGAGAGGAUGACCAGCCACACUGGAACGGAGACACGGUCCAGACUCCUACGGGAGGCAGCAGUGGGGAAUAUUGCACAAUGGGCGCAAGCCUGAUGCAGCCAUGCCGCGUGUAUGAAGAAGGCCUUCGGGUUGUAAAGUACUUUCAGCGGGGAGGCGUUACCCGCAGAAGAAGCACCGGCUAACUCCGUGCCAGCAGCCGCGGUAAUAC